UGCAUAUUCCAAAAAGCGGAGGAAAAGAAACUAACAAGGAUUCCCCUAGUAACUGCGAGUGAAGCGGGAAAAGCUCAAAUUUAAAAUCUGGUGGUCUUUGGCCAUCCGAGUUGUAAUCUAGAGAAGUGUUAUCCGCGCUGGACCGUGUACAAGUCCCCUGGAAUGGGGCGUCAUAGAGGGUGAGAAUCCCGUCUUUGACACGGACUACCAGGGCUUUGUGAUGCACUCUCAAAGAGUCGAGUUGUUUGGGAAUGCAGCUCAAAAUGGGUGGUAAAUUCCAUCUAAAGCUAAAUAUUGGCGAGAGACCGAUAGCGAACAAGUACCGUGAGGGAAAGAUGAAAAGAACUUUGGAAAGAGAGUUAAACAGUACGUGAAAUUGUUGAAAGGGAAACGCUUGAAGUCAGUCGCGUCUGCCAGGGAUCAACCUUACUUUUGUGAGGCGUACUUCCUGGUUGAUGGGUCAGCAUCAGUUUUGGUCGCUGGAUAAAGGUCAGAGAAAUGUGGCACCUUCGGGUGUGUUAUAGUCUUUGAUCAGAUACAGUGGCUGGGACUGAGGAACUCAGCGCCGCAAGGCUGUCUUAGGAUGCUGGCAAAAUGGCUUUAAUCGACCCGUCUUGAAACACGGCCAAAGGGAGUCA
rnacentral:rRNA from 1 species